GACGAACGCUGGCGGCGUGCUUAACACAUGCAAGUCGAACGGAAAGGCCCUGCUUUUGUUGGGUGCUCGAGUGGCGAACACGUGUGUAUCACGUGAGUAUCCUGCCCUUGACUUUGGGAUAACUUCAGGAAACUGGGGCUCAUACCGCAUAUGAGCUCCUGCUGCAUGGUGGGGGUUGGAAAGUUGCGGCGUUUGUGGAUGGACUCGCGGCUCAUCAGCUUGUUGGUGGGGUAGUGGCUUAACAAGGCUUUGACGGGUAGCCGGCCUGAGAGGGUGACCGGCCACAGUGGGACUGAGACGCGGGCCAGACUCAUACGGGAGGCAGCAGUGGGGAAUAUUGCACGAUGGGCGGAGGCCGGAUGCAGCAACGCCGCGUGCGGGAGGACGGCCGUCGGGUUGUAAACCGCGUGCGCGUGUGACGAAGAGUGAGUGACGGUAAUGGGUAAAGAAGCACCGGCUAACUACGUG
rnacentral:rRNA from 1 species